GACGAACGCUGGCGGCGUGCCUAAUACAUGCAAGUCGAACGAACCGCGACUAGGUGCUUGCACUUGGUCAAGGUGAGUGGCGAACGGGUGAGUAACACGUGGGUAACUUACCUCAUAGUGGGGGAUAACAGUCGGAAACGACUGCUAAUACCGCAUAGGACAUGGGAUCACAUGAUUCUGUGAGGAAAGGUGGCGCAAGCUAUCGCUAAGAGAUGGACCCGCGGUGCAUUAGCUAGUUGGUAGGGUAACGGCCUACCAAGGCGAUGAUGCAUAGCCGACCUGAGAGGGUGAUCGGCCACAUUGGGACUGAGACACGGCCCAAACUCCUACGGGAGGCAGCAGUAGGGAAUCUUCCGCAAUGGACGCAAGUCUGACGGAGCAACGCCGCGUGAGUGAAGAAGGUCUUCGGAUCGUAAAGCUCUGUUGUUAGAGAAGAACAGCGCAUAGAGUAACUGUUAUGCGUGUGACGGUAUCUAACCAGAAAGCCACGGCUAACUACGUG
rnacentral:rRNA from 1 species